rnacentral:rRNA from 1 species
GAUGAACGCUAGCGGCAGGCCUAACACAUGCAAGUCGAGGGGUAGAACACUUCGGUGUUUGAGACCGGCGCACGGGUGCGUAACGCGUAUGCAAUCUACCUUAUACAGGGGAAUAGCCCAGAGAAAUUUGGAUUAAUGCCCCAUAGCAUUACGACUUGGCAUCAAGAUGUAAUUAAAGUUCCAACGGUAUAAGAUGAGCAUGCGUCCCAUUAGUUAGUUGGUAAGGUAACGGCUUACCAAGACGAUGAUGGGUAGGGGUCCUGAGAGGGAGAUCCCCCACACGGGUACUGAGACACGGACCAGACUCCGACGGGAGGCAGCAGUGAGGAAUAUUGGUCAAUGGUCGCAAGGCUGAACCAGCCAUGCCGCGUGCAUGAAGACGGUCCUAUGGAUUGUAAACUGCUUUUAUACAGGGAGAAACCCUCCAACGUGUGGGAGCUUGACGGUACUGUAGGAAUAAGGAUCGGCUAACUCCGUGCCAGCCGCCGCCGUAA